ACUUCACAAAUAAACAAAAACAAAAUGAGGGUUCUAUAUUUCAAGCCAUAGGCCAUAGCAUGCUUGCCAAGAGAAUGAUACACCAGAAACUAGCUUCUAUCUGAUCUCACACGUUACUCCGCUCACAUCGUCUAUGAAACUAACAGCAAGGAAUGACAGAUAAUAAUUUCCGAUGAUCGCUAGCUAAGAAGGGCUCUGAUAACAUGAAUGAGAUCCGAGAAAGGGCUGGAAAGUAUAUUAAGACAGAUGAAAGCGUGAGCAAAUCCCAGCCAGGGACAAUCCACAAAUUCUAAAAAAUGUGGAAACGAUACGGAGUACAAUGCAAAAAGCAAGUAGUCGAAGACUGGAGAUGGUGUGGGAUUACCGUCUAAGAAGAAAAACAGGACCGAGGUUCAUGGAAUAUGUGAAGCUGAAUGCUCCAAGGAGUCAGAUCCUAAUGAAAUGAGAAAAUUGACAUAGUUUGACGGCCGAAGCCUAUAAGUUUGUUCUAAUGUUUGUACAGUUUCAUCGUAUCAAUAUACUUUCUGAAACAGCUCAACUCAAGCCA